CUGACCGAGCACGCCGCGUGAGUGAUGAAGGCUUUCGGGUCGUAAAACUCUGUUGUUAGGGAAGAACAAGUACGAGAGUAACUGCUCGUACCUUGACGGUACCUAACCAGAAAGCCACGGCUAACUACGUGCCAGCAGCCGCGGUAAUACGUAGGUGGCGAGCGUUAUCCGGAAUUAUUGGGCGUAAAGCGCGCGCAGGCGGUUCCUUAAGUCUGAUGUGAAAGCCCACGGCUCAACCGUGGAGGGUCAUUGGAAACUGGGGAACUUGAGUGCAGAAGAGAAGAGCGGAAUUCCACGUGUAGCGGUGAAAUGCGUAGAGAUGUGGAGGAACACCAGUGGCGAAGGCGGCUCUUUGGUCUGUAACUGACGCUGAGGCGCGAAAGCGUGGGGAGCAAACAGGAUUAGAUACCCUGGUAGUCCACGCCGUAAACGAUGAGUGCUAAGUGUUAGAGGGUUUCCGCCCUUUAGUGCUGAAGUUAACGCAUUAAGCACUCCGCCUGG
rnacentral:rRNA from 2 species